AUGCAGCAAAACAGAAAAACAAUGAAAGUCUGUAUUAGUAACCAGAAAAACGGUCAGAAGUCUGAGGUACCUGAGAGAAGACAGAAAAAUGAGAUCUGGAAUUUGAGGAGCACAUGUUAGGAGAAGAGCCAUCUCUACUACUCCCCAAAAGAUUCCCUGUUCUAGUUGGCCUUCUAUAUUGGUGGUUUCUGAAUACAUACCCCAAAGAACUUGAGCAUCAGUGAAUUCUGGUAUCUUCUGGGAGCCCUGGAACUAAUCUCUUGAAGAUACCAAGGGAUGACUGUGUUUUAAAAGGCGAGAGAGAGAUGUCACUCAGGACUGCUUCCAAAGGAGUUUCUCUUGCAGCUUGCUUCACUGUCUGACUCCUUUCAUACAAGUGGGUAACAUGCCCUUCAUUCGGAACCAAACCUGUGCCCUGGCUUGGUAUAUUUCCUCCACCUGCUGAGCACCCCCUCACCCUCUACUUUUACCUGGAAGAAAGAAGACAAUAAUAUCUACCAAUCAAGAUGCUGUACCUGAAGCAGAAGAUAACCUGGCAAAGAAAAGAGUAUAGUGCUGCCUUCAGGGAACUCCUAGUCUAGGGGAAGACAGCCAAUAAUCACAUAACUGCUCUAAUCAAAUAUUUCACCAAAAUAAAGUAUUAGCUACCUCCUAGAA